rnacentral:misc_RNA from 1 species
GUGAAUCAUCGAAUCUUUGAACGCAAAUUGCACUCUCUUCUGAUAGGAGGCCUAUUUGAGUUUCAGCCUAAAAAAAAUCUACAUAGUUGGUUUUACGUGGUAACAUUUGUCUGAGAUUGGGUCAGCUUGAACGUUUGGGUUUAAGCGGCUUAAAAUUUUCGUUACGAUUUGAAGAUGUUUUCUAGGUUUUUAUUUU